CCCCCCCCCCCCCCCCCCCCCCCCCCCCCCCCCCCCCCCCCCCCCCCCCCCCCCUGGCAAAACACGCUGUGGCACCUGCCCCGUCCCAUCCUCCCUGCCUCCACCCCUCUGUCCCCCCAGCCACGCCCUGGGUCGGUGCCAGGGGCACCCCCAGCCCCUCCUCCGCCCACCUACCCCAGCAGCUCUUUGGUUCGAGGCGUCCUCUGACCCUGCCUGGUCACGCCUUCGUGUGCAGGGGUUUUUUUUUCUUUCUCUCUUCAUUCUUUUGUCCUUUCUUUUAGCUUUUGAACUUGAUCAAUGUUUUUUUGUUUGGUUUUUUAUUUGUCUUUUUGUUCUUUUUUUUUUUUUUUUUUUUUUUGUUUUUUUUGGUUUUGUUUUUGUUUGGUUUUUUUGGUUUUUUUGUUUUUUUUUUUUUUUGGUGAACGCAUAUCCUUUUCUUUACUUCUCUUUUCUUUUUUUUUUUUUUCCCUUCUUUUCAACAAGGUGCCUUCCUGUGACACAACUGAUCACUCUCAAAGUAAAGUGAAUCCAAGAAACCAUAGCGCUAGAACACAGAUGGUACUUUUUACCCGCAUAAAUUCAAGAGUCCCUUUUGGUUUUUUUUUGUUUGGUUUUUUUUUUUUUUUUUUGGUUGAUGGUUGGUUUUGGAGGAUUUUUUUUUUUUUUUCCCCCAAGUGGUGGGGGAAGAAGGGGACCUUGCCUCCCCUUUCAUCCCCAAGCCUCUCCCAGCCCUUCCCUGUCCCCAGGCACCUCCUGCUCCUCCCGAGGACACCCUGGGCUGGCAAGGAGCCCUCGGGGCAGCCGGGGGGGGCUGAUUGUGAGGGUUUGGCCUCGUGAUUGCUUUUUUAUAUGGCACAAGUCACCAUCGAGAGCUCGGAGGAAACGAUCCCUUUGAAGCUUAAGUACCAUUGCUCCAGAAAUUCGCGUUUAAGGCAGGUUGUUAAUUGGCACAAAAAAAAAAAAAAAAAAAAAAAACUGGUCCCCCCCCCCCCCCCCCCCCCCCCCCCCCCCUAAUUGCCCAAAAAAAAAAAAAAAAAAAAAAAAAAAAAAUCUGGUGUCUUUUUGGUAAGUCGCCGGUCUUUGCUGAGCUUGUUGGGUUGUGGUUUCUGUUGUUAUUCCUUUUUUUUUGGGGGACGAGUUGGUUUCUUUCUUCCCUUUCAAUCUCGUCGGGGAGUUUUCCCCCUUCUCACACCCAGGGCUGGAUUUUGCCACCAGCUCCCUUGGAUUUUUCCCCCCCCCCCCCCCCCCCCCCCCCCCCCCCCCCCCCCCCCCCCCCCCCCCCCCCCCCCCCCCCCCCCCCCCCCCCCCCCCCCCCCCCCCCCCCCCCCCCCCCCCCCACCGUGCACCGACGUUGGUUCCCAGGAGGGAAAUUUUUUUUUUUUUUUUUUGGUUGUUGUCGUUGUUGCGUUUUCGGUUUUGUAAUUUCUUUGGUAACAGAGAUGAAGAGGAGGGAUGGGAGGGGACAAGAGUGCGUGCCGAGGGGUGGAUGGGGCGAGACGCAAAGCCAACAAAUCUGCUUUGUCCGCGUCCAUUCCUCAGCCGAAAAGUGAACCAGAAAAUCCAGAGGGGAAAAAAAGGUGGAGCCAGUCACCAGGAAAGAUCAGAUCCUUCGCUCCGAGUCUCUGCUCCCGUCUCCUUUGGAACAACUGUUAUUUUUAAAUACCCGAUUCCUGUCGCUAAAAUGUGCUUCUUUGAGCUGCUGCGGGCGGAGCAGCCGGGGCCCCCGGGGAUGGGGGAGCUCGGGUCCCUGGGGGCAGGAGGGGGCUCCUCUGCCCUGGAGCUUCUCCGGGAGGGAUCUGGGGCCGGGGCGCUCUCGUGGGUCGGGGGCUGUGAGUGCACGGGGGGCCUGGGGUGUGGGUGCCCCUGCAGUG
rnacentral:lncRNA from 1 species